rnacentral:rRNA from 1 species
CGCAAGCCUGACGGAGCAAGACCGCGUGCGGGAUGACGGCCUAAUGGUUGUAAACCGCUUUUCUCUGGGAAGAUGAUGACGGUACCAGAGGAAUCAGCCUCGGCUAACUCCGUGCCAGCAACCGCGGUAAUACGGAGGAGGCAAGCGUUAUCCGGAAUUAUUGGGCGUAAAGCGUCCGUAGGUGGUUAUUCAAGUCUGCUGUCAAAGCGUGGGGCUUAACUCCAUAGAGGCAGUGGAAACUGGAUGACUUGAGUGCGGUAGGGGUCGAGGGAAUUCCCAGUGUAGCGGUGAAAUGCGUAGAUAUUGGGAAGAACACCAGUGGCGAAAGCGCUCGACUGGGCCUGCACUGACACUGAGGGACGAAAGCUAGGGGAGCG